rnacentral:rRNA from 1 species
GACAGGGGGUGCAAACGUUGUUCGGAAUUACUGGGCGUAAAGCGCGUGUAGGCUGCUCGGAAAGUCGGAUGUGAAAGCCCUGGGCUCAACCUAGGAAGUGCAUUCGAAACUUCCGAGCUGGAGUGCUGGAGAGGAAGGCGGAAUUCUCGGUGUAGAGGUGAAAUUCGUAGAUAUCGAGAGGAACACCGGUGGCGAAGGCGGCCUUCUGGACAGUAACUGACGCUGAGACGCGAAAGCGUGGGGAGCAAACAGG